UACGAGGGGGGCAAAUGUUGUUCGGAAUCACUGGGCGUAAAGGGAGCGUAGGCGGGUUUUUAAGUCAGGUGUUUAAUCCCGGGGCCCAACCCCGGACAGGCACUUGAAACUGGGAAUCUUGAAUAGUGGAGAGGUAAGUGGAAUUCCGAGUGUAGAGGUGAAAUUCGUAGAUAUUCGGAAGAACACCAGUGGCGAAGGCGACUUACUGGACACAUAUUGACGCUGAGGUGCGAAAGCGUGGGGAGCAAACAGG
rnacentral:rRNA from 1 species